rnacentral:lncRNA from 1 species
CCAUGGGAUGCGCAUUCGUGAAACAGGGUGAGUAUAAGAUAUGAACCCAGAAAAGCAAAAAGGGUCAGAAAAGAAAUUUUUUUAAUGUGGUUCUUAUUGAAAGAAACUUAAUACCAAACAGUAUUAUACAGUUGAAUAUAUGCCAACCAGAGCCCCAUUAACAUAAACUACAAAAAUGAAUGCAACUUGCAAAUGUUAAUAUAUCCCACAUAUUUUAAAUGGCAAUAUGACUUGACCACAAAUUCCUCUGUUGCAAUCAGAAGAAAAGUGAUAUUUAAUGAGGAAAGGCCUUUCAAUAAGUUGAUGGAAGACAAGGUUUUAUGUAACCUAAUGCUCAAGUUAGUGGAAAGCAAUUUUUUUUUUCAAAUAGAUAUGACUUAUUUAAAUCAUUAAAUAAGAUUCUUGGGGAGGGGAGUAUAGCAAUUUCCUCAGAGGCUGGGCAGGGAACUCUGGUGAAUCAAUGAAAUCAUUGACUCAAAAUUAGUGCAGAUACUUUGAGUUCUGGUCUUGGCUUUUCACAAAGGUAACCAAGUGCCUUAGGCAGGUCAGUUAAACUCCCUGGGAUUUAGUUCUUAACCAGUAAAAUUAAGGGGUCAGUUUUGUUAGGGUUUCAAAGUUUAUUUAGCCAUAUCGCCUCUUGUGCAAAUGAAGCACUACUUGGAAGUUCAACGCCUAAGGUGGCUGAGUGGAGGUGCCUGGUGUGUUGUGAUAGGUCUGGGCUUUUGGUUCAUUCUCAUGUUCCCCUCCCCUGGUGGCCCCAGAGUCACUUCCUCCAAAAAACAGAGUGUGACAGACACAAUCUGGAGGAUCCCUGGGGUCUUGUCCAGCUCUCACACCAGAUGAUCGUAUUGCACUGGGCCAUAAAAUGCUAGAGAAAGAAACGUCAAAGGAACCCUCAGCUCAUCUGGGGAGAAAGAAGUUUAAAAAGUGGGGCAUCUUGAACAGAUCAAACUUGGUAGUGUUUCUGAGAAGCCAGGAACAAAAGAUAAGACAGCUCUUUUUCCUGAUUCAGAUUAGCUUCCAAAGUGGAGAGAAUAUAAACACACUUAGGCCCCAGAGUCAGGCCUUCUAGAAGAAUACAAGGGGCAGGAUCAGCAGGCCCAGAGACUUGGCUUUUCUCAGCCUUCUCUGUUUAAUGCUCUCACACAUCACACUCAAGACGCAGGAAAGUUGUGCCUAUUAAUACACAGCCCGCCCCGCUGAUAACAGAUGUGGUUAUCAUGGGAACGAAAACACAUUUCCCCAGCUUUAAACCUCAAGCACAUUUUCCAUCAUCGGUAACUGACUGAAAGGCUGGCUCGGGGCAGAUGCUUUUCUUGCGUUUCUCAUCUGUGGACAUUGCUUCAAGCAAUCACUGGGAAAGGAGACUCUGAGGUCUCCACCAGCAAGUGGAGGAGUUGGCAGGACCCAAGAGAAUUCUUCCCCCUUUGCUUAUAGGAACUGCUCAUGGGCUGGGGCUCCAGGGGCCUUUUUGUUUAUGCAAACCCUCCCCUCGAGAUAACACUGAGUACGGAUUUCUCAGAGAAAGGCUCCAGAAAGCUGAGGGCUGCUGCGUUGAACCUUAGCAGUCUUAUGACUUAGGCCUUGGCCAAAACCACCUCCAAGGCACAGCCACGGGCUUCAUUUGUCCAGAUCUUGUGUUAGUGCAAAACCACACACCAUCUGGACACAGCCUUGAGGAACCCAUGCCGUAGGAUUCUGAACCCCCUCACAGAACUUUACCUUCCCAGAGCCAAGCCACCCACGGGGGAUCAUUUUAUCAACUCUUACAGCUUUCCUGGAAAGGAGACUGGGAACAGGCUAAGUGAGGAAGGCAAAAGCAGACUCAGGAGAGGCGUCCAUCCCAGCUUCUGGCUUCCAACCUUGCACUUAAUAAACUAGGCCAGCCGCUUCUUUGUACAAGCUUAUUUCUGUCGACUGUGGGAAGAAACCAUUGUCAACAGUGUGCAUUUCAGAGACACGAGUUCCAAACCACAUAAUGUUCAAUUUUUCUCAACUCAGCCCUCAGUGCUGAAAGGCUAUAUCAGCCUCUGAGAAGAGGCUCUGUAGAUUGCAUCCCAGCAUCUGGCAGGAAGGGAUCUGGUUUUCCCAUGGGUCUGUAUGAGCUAAAAUGUUUGUUAUUAUCUAUUCCUUGUAGCUCUUUUUUCAAGUCAGCUCUUAUCCUUUCUAAAACCACUGCCACUUCUGGGGAACUUGAGUUAUACCAUAAAUGUGAAGUCACCCAGAGAAGCUCUUGUUUAGACUGGGAUCAAAGACCUUGACUGGAUGCUUCAGCUUUCCCUUCUCCUGUCCAAACCCCCAGGAUGGAGCUCUCCAUCUAGUGUAGUAGAACAUCUGUACUGUGUCUACCAGAGAUGAGCUUAGUUACCUAAAAAUACUGCAUCAGCUGUCUGCAAGGCCAUGUUUGCAGUAUGAUUCAUAUUUUGUUAUAAUAUAUUAUGCAAAAACUGUCAAGAAAUUCCCCAACUGAUAACAGUGUCUUUCUCAGGAGGGUAAAAAUCUGGAUGAUUUUUUUUUUCUUCCUUGAGUUUUCCAAAAUUUCUGCAAUAAACUGAUAAUGUUCUUACAGUAGGAAAAAAAAAAUUGUGUAGGGUGUGUGUGUGUGUGUGUGUGUGUGUGUGUGUAUGUUUUCACACAUAUCUUGUACUGGGGAAUUGGUGCCCAGGGCCUUACAUAUGCUAGGUAAGAACUCUAUCACUCAGCUACAUCUCCAGACCUUUUUAUUAUUAUUAUUAUUUUAUUUUGAAACAGUCUCCUUCAGUUGCGCAGGCUGCCCUUGAACCUGCAAUCCUCCUGCCUUGAACUUGCAAUCUUCCUGCCUCAACCUCCUGAGUAGCUGGGAUUACAGAUGCACAACAUCACACCCUGCCAGUCAAGUUCUUCUUAACACAAGGAAAAAAAAUGCAUUUGUGUAAGUUGCCUAAAUAACUGAUACUGUGCAUGGAUUCUGGCUGUCCAAAAAUCCAGCAGAUGGUUUUGAGAAAAAAAUAUGAACAAAUAAUAAAGGUACCAAAAUGCAGAGUACUUUGAUAGAUGCAAAAUGAGAAGACAGCCAAACAAGGGAGAAAAAAAGGAAAAGAAAUGAAUACAGCAGAGGGAAGCUAUGGAAAGCUUUCGCAUGGCACUCCUUGAUUCUUCCAGUUCUUGCGUCAAGAGCGCAGCCUCCUAGAAUCAGCCAGCUCAGACCUGGAACCCACUUACUUAUUAUGGACAAUGAAAAAAUUACUGGAAGUUUCUGAACCCACCUUCUCCAGAGGGUUCUUCAACUGGGGAUUGAAUUCAGGGGCAUUUAACCACUGAGCCACAUCCCUAGCCUUUUUUUUUUCCACACGUUAUUUAGAAACAGGGUCUCACUGAGUUGCUUAGGACCUUGCUAAGUUGCAGAGGCUGGCUUUGAACUCCUGAUCCUCCUGCCAAGACACUGGGAUUUCAAUGCUACCACUCCUGGCUCCCCAAAUAAUUCUUGAGAGAAUGACUUGAGUGACAUAAGGUCAGGAAGUCUCUCACCCUGUGGUAGUGGUGGGUGGAUACAUAGUGAAUACCCCUGAGGGUCUAUGGGACGAUCUUCAGGGUUUUAUUCCUGCAACUCUGUCCCCCCAGUGUCCACCCCAGGGAAGAAGGUUCUGAUGACUUCUCCAGGCCACCCAUGCAAGUUAGGUGAAAGACGAAGGGACACGUCUCAGAACUCCAAACUGCAUCUCCAGCUGUGCUCUGCCCGGGUGGGAGAGAGGGACCGAAGCAGGUGGACAUUCAUAUUUGCACAGUGACUAGCCUACUGCAGUUCAGGAAUGGACACUACCUGGCCUUUGCCUCUGUUGUAAACCUGACUGAAUAGGGAAAAACAAGCACCAGUGUGGGUAUGUUAACACCAAUUGUAGCCUUUUGUCAAUCAGCUUCUUUGCAUCUGGACUUCAAACACGUGUUUACCGCAUUUGUUCAGGUAAAAUAACGCUGGGAGGAGGGUUGAGAUUCCCUGUACUUCCCCAUAUGGUGUCUUGUGAAAUCCACACAGCCCACCAGCAGGGUCUGUAGCUAC